CAGAUAGGAAAUUCAAUUUUCCCCCCAUUUCAUUGGUAAAGACCAGCUCUAUGGCCUGAUAUAAAUGCAAGGAGCUAAAGUCAUGUAAUCUCUUGAACUUCUAAAAGGCAAAUGACAAGUGAGAGCACGGAUGGCUCUCUGUCUACUUGGAGGGGGACAUUUCUAAUCAAGUGCUAUUAGAAUUGUCGAAUUUGUAAACCGCACAAAAGCUUUGAUGGCCAAUCCAGUGAUAUUUACAAAUGAUGCCCUUUUGAAAUGAGAGCUGUGGUUCUAGACUACAGAGCCUGCUUUCUCUUCCCUAUUUUUCAACAUUUUUGCAGUGUUAUGACUUAGAGAAGUGUCACUGAAUCCCACCAAGCACGUACUAAGUGCUUAGUACUUACUGACGGAGGAAUACCACCAUAAAGAAACUACACUUGAAACGUCAGUGGAUUCAUGGUUGUACUUCAUAUCCAAAGUCACAAGGCCAUGACAGAGCCAGAAAAAGAGUUUUCCUGUAUAUUGCCAUUAACUACCAAAGUGCUUUUAUUACUUCCCUGAGAAAAGCUGGACCCAGCAGAGUUAUUUAUGUCUGUUGGCAGUUUCCAAAGGUGAUUGCCAUCUUUAGCCUUGGACUCUAUUCAUGCCCAGGUUUGGCGCAGAUAUAGAGCAAAAACAAUGCCUAGCACAGUUAGAGGCAAUAUCCUACUGUAGUUACUCCAUAGUGCCUAUCCCAACAGAGAAUGUACAAAGACACUACCCAGAUGCUUCCUCCUCUUAGAUUAAUUUCCUGCUAUUGUGAUAAAAGACCCCAGUAAAAGCAACCUAUGGGAGAAAGGGUUCAUUUGGUUAUAGUCUGUUAUGGCAACAGGAACAUGAAGCAGCUGAAGGCAUUAUAUCCACAGUCAAGAGCAGAGAACAAUGAAUUAAUGCAAGCGAGUUACUGCUUAGGGAAUUGUGCCACCCACAGUGGGUGGGUUUUCCAACUUUAAUUAAUGUAAUCAAGGUAAGCAUUCAUGCCUACAGGUCAACCUGGUCUAGACAGUCUCUCAUUGAGACUCUUUUCUCAAGUGAUUGUAGAUUGUGUCAAGCUGACCAUUAAAACUAACCAUCACAUAUUCUACAAACUUCCUAAGGACCAAUCAGAAUGAAUGUUUAUACUAAUAGCUUGCCUAUCUUCUUUGCUGGAUCCUGUGAGAUCGGAUCAGGACACUAUUGGGGAGGAGAGAGCAUACUGGCAAGAGGGGAAUGUUGAUACCAGAGGUGGGAGGGAGGAGUCAGGGAGAGGAUGAAUGAGAUUUAAGUACAGUGAUAGAUAUACAUGAAAAUGUCACAAUGGCCUGGGGAGGUGACCCAGUAUGCAAGCUUGAGGGUCUAAGUUUGGAUCCCAAGAAAGAACAUAAAAGCUAGGAAUGGCAGCAUAUACCCAUUACUCCGGCACUGGAAAGGUAGAAAGAGAUAGUUCUCCGGAUCUCAGCAGCCAGGCUGUCUAGCAGAAAUAGAGAACUAUGGGUUUGGUGACUGGCAUUGUCUCAGAAGGAAAAGUAAGGCACAAAGAGCAGCAUGCAGCAUUGACCUCUGACCUCGACCCAGGCACACAGGCACAAGCGCACCCCACAUAUAUGCAUACACUUACAUACUCCACACUAAACACAUGCACACGGAAGCCGACUUCUUUGUAUGACAACUCAAAUCUUAAUAGAAAAGAAUGAAGAUCUGGUUUGUGUAGAGUUUUGAAUCCCCUGCUCCUGAGAGGAUUCUUAGACUAACAAAGAGCAAAAUCAGUGUUUCCUGAGUCAGACAGAAGCCCUGCAGUCACACCAGAGACCCGAACGUUAGCCUGCACCUUUCUGCCUUACUCUGUUUUACAAUGAUAAAUUGGCGUCUGUAUGCAAAGAGGAAAAUGGGGACAGGCUGAGUUUGUAUUCUCAGCUGUUGCCCAGACCAUGCGAGAAGAGAGACUUCGAUUUCAUUUUAGCAUCCAGGAGACAUCAGGUCCAAUUUAAUUUGAUCCCCAAAUGACCAAGCUGAUUAAUUGUCAAGUCUGGUUUUACUCCAUAGUAAACCUUAAUCUUUCAUAAUUUGCCAUGAAAUUAAUGGGAGUUGGCUAUUUCAGGCACGAAUGAGGGAGGCCUAACAAACCUCCCCAGGCUGUCUUUAGGCCAGGUGGGGAUGGCCUGGCUGCACCCGAAGAGGAACAGGUGGAAUGAAGAUUAGGUCACAUGGUGAGAAGGGGGUGGCCGGAGGCCGGCAGCUGUUGAAAUCCCAGGUGUGUGUGAGUUGGCAGGGGUACAAAGCCAGGAGCUGCUAACAGCUCAAAGUCCCAGGGCUGUGCAGCUGCUCGCUUGGCGCUAGCUGUGGACCCACCUGUAGUGUUGACGGGCACACCCCACUCUUGGAGCAAGAGAACAUGAGAGGUCUGGGGAAGAGCAGCCACCCACCCCUUCUUAGCCAGAAGGUUGCGGGGAGCAAACUUACUCCCUGACUGACAAAAGUGAGUGGACUUGAGACCAGACCUCCUUGGCUUUUCUUAUUUACCACGCAGCCCUUGGAGGUCUAAAGAAAAGAUACACAUUUUCUUUCUAUCCAAGAACCUAGUCCCAAGCACCCCUAGGAAGUAGGGAAAAAUUAACCCUGAGCUGGAGGGUAAAUCAACAGGC
rnacentral:lncRNA from 1 species